rnacentral:snoRNA from 1 species
AAGACUACAUUUUCAGGGAUCAUUUCUACAGUUCAUUACUAGAGAAGGUUCUCUGAACAUGUAGGGCACUGAAAGCAGGAGGAGGUAGCACAGCGUUCUCUCCUGAGGGUGAAGCCGGCUCUAGGUGUUGCUUUCUUGCAACUGCCUUUUGCCAUUGAUAAUCGUUUUUCUCUUUCGUUUUGGGAGAGUGAGACAGAGAAUGCAGUCUGAAUGGG